CGCUCCUUGCAAAAAAAUUGAUGAAUAAGGAGUUCUGCCUGCCCAGUGACGUAGUUAAACGGCCGCGGUAUUUUGACCGUGCAAAGGUAGCAUAAUCAUUUGCCUCUUAAAUAGGGGCUGGUAUGAAUGGCAAGACGAAGGUUAAGCUGUCUCUUUCUUAUAAACUUGAAUUUAAUAUUCUUGUGAAGAAGCAGGAAUAAACUCGUAGGACGAGAAGACCCUAUCGAGCUUUAGCAAAGUUAUUAGUAGCUAUUAAUACAAUAAGUCUAAUGAGGUUAGUCAUAACAGGUGAUUUUUAGCUUUUUGUUUGUUGCUGCUUAAUAAAACAGUUUUGAUUGGGGCAAUCGCGGAGUAUAUAAAGCCUCCGCUAAUGAAGUUAAAAAAUUACUAUUUUACAAAAAGUGAUCCGCUGUUUAGCGAGCAAAGGAAUAAGUUACCGUAGGGAUAACAGCGUAAUUUUUUUGGAGAGUUCAUAUUGAUAAAAAAGUUUGCGACCUCGAUGUUGGAUCGAGAUUUCCUAGAGAUGCAGCAGUUUCUAAGGGUUGGUCUGUUCGACCAUUAAAAUCUU
rnacentral:rRNA from 1 species